rnacentral:rRNA from 1 species
GAUGAACGCUGGCGGCGUGCCUAAUACAUGCAAGUCGAGCGAACAGACGAGGAGCUUGCUCCUCUGACGUUAGCGGCGGACGGGUGAGUAACACGUGGAUAACCUACCUAUAAGACUGGGAUAACUUCGGGAAACCGGAGCUAAUACCGGAUAAUAUAUUGAACCGCAUGGUUCAAUAGUGAAAGACGGUUUUGCUGUCACUUAUAGAUGGAUCCGCGCCGCAUUAGCUAGUUGGUAAGGUAACGGCUUACCAGGGCAACGAUGCGUAGCCGACCUGAGAGGGUGAUCGGCCACACUGGAACUGAGACACGGUCCAGACUCCUACGGGAGGCAGCAGUAGGGAAUCUUCCGCAAUGGGCGAAAGCCUGACGGAGCAACGCCGCGUGAGUGAUGAAGGUCUUCGGAUCGUAAAACUCCGUUAUUAGGGAAGAACAAAUGUGUAAGUAACUAUGCACGUCUUGACGGUACCUAAUCAGAAAGCCACGGCUAACUACGUG